AUGCUUAACCUUGCAGAUGAAAUGUCAAAUUCAAAGACUGGUUUUCUCAGGGUUAGAGCCUAUUCAUUGCACUUCAGGGUGUGCUGACCCUGCAGUUUCCCCAAAUAUUGGAACUUGACUGCAUAUUUUGUGGGCACUGGCGGCAUAAUUUAUACUGUCCACCUG
rnacentral:snRNA from 1 species